ensembl:lncRNA
AAAAGGUUUUUUCAUUCAGAAUGUUAAGAAAUCAUUUCUGGAAACGCAGAAAUAAUUUAAUGAGUUAAUAUCCGAGGCCAAUACUCUAGCGACAGAUGGAUUUAAGACGAGGUGUUUAUUUGUUCUACAGGAAGACCGAUUAGCUGUGAAGUCACUUUGGCCGGAGAAAGAUGGCGUCGCUUCUAUCCCCUACAAGAUCAACGAUGAUCUGGUGGACAGAAAGAAAACCAUGCUAGCAGCGUUCAAGCUCAUUUCAGACCAGACGUGUAUCCGCUUCCACGAAUACACCAAUGAGAUUAACUACAUCGAGUUCAUCUCUGGGACAGGGUUGACCAGGUCUAUUUUGCUGUAGUGUUCUUCCGCGAUGACCUGUGCCAUGACGGCAUGGAUGGUUUUCUCUGUGGGGAAGAAGCGCCUCAGCGGCGGCGGGGUCGUGUCUUGGAACAGCCCCGUCCGC